UGAAAAACUUCGGGUUUUCAUGGGUGAUAUGUUGAAGUGAAAACUUCAGGUUUUCAAACAAGGCAUGUUUAUAAGAAACUUCAGGUUUCAAAGUAAUUAUGAACUUCAGGUUCAUAUAUUCCUGCAGGCAAACUCAAAUAUAUAUGCAAACAAAUAUGCAACAAGUAUAUGCCAAAGUAUUGUAUAAUUAUAAUUGAAUUAAUUAUUUGGACUUCGGGUCAAAUUAAAGUGUGGGUGGAAAAAUAUAAAACCCAUUAGGUCUGAAAUAAUUUAGACGAAUAAAAUUCGGGGUCCAAAAGAAAACACUAAGCCACAUGUGGCUUGAAGAAAUUGUUCCAUGAGACCUAGGCCUAAAAAAAUGGGCUGUGGGGUCUCGGGUGAGCU
rnacentral:lncRNA from 1 species